rnacentral:rRNA from 1 species
GGAUUGGAGUCUGCAACUCGACUCCAUGAAGCUGGAUUCGCUAGUAAUCGCGCAUCAGCCAUGGCGCGGUGAAUACGUUCCCGGGCCUUGUACACACCGCCCGUCAAGCCAUGGGAGUCGGGAGUGCCUGAAGUUCGUGACCGUCACAGGAGCGACCUAAGGCAAGACCGAUGACUGGGGCUAAGUCGUAACAAGGUAGC